CCACCAGCGCGCCAUCUUCUUCUUCGUGUUUGUUUUUAGCAGCUAGCCAAACACGACAUGAACCCACCGCCACCUAGCGGACAGGAGGCCUUUAGUUUGUGGUGCCAGACUGGAUGUGUGUUGCAGCUCCGUACCAGGACUGAUGGGGGCGCUGAGUAGCACAAAGACCGUGUCACUGAAACAACUGGUGGACUCUGCGGGACCAGCACUCUCUGACAUCCAGGUCCUGUUUUUAUCAGUGGAAUCCGUUACAGAAAAGAAACUAAAUUGAAGUGCCAACUUUUGAACUUUUUAAUUGGUGAAGUGAUACAGACUGGACCUAAUGUUGAUGUGGUGGCCUUGUGGAGGUGCAACAUUAAAGCCCGGCUAAGGCUGCAGUUCUGUUUCCACAGGACCAUGGGGAA